GCCGAGGUGGCGAAACGGCAGACGCACGCGGCUUAAGACCGCGGGUCCUUUACCGGACGUGAGAGUUCGAAUCUCUCCCUCGGCA
rfam:Candidate division WWE3 bacterium RIFCSPLOWO2_02_FTLL_53_10 rifcsplowo2_02_scaffold_42584, whole genome shotgun sequence.